GGAGUACGGUCGCAAGAUUAAAACUCCAAGGAAUUGACGGGGACCCGCACAAGCGGUGGAGCGUGUUGUUUAAUUCGAUGGUAAGCGAAGAACCUUACCAAGGCUUGAAAUCCCGAUAGCAGUUCAUCGAAAGAAGAACCUCAUUUAGUUGGAUCGGUGACAGGUGAUGCAUGGCCGUCGUCAGCUCGUGUCGUGAGAUGUAUGGUUAAGUCCAUUAACGAGCGCAACCCUUAUGUUUAGUUGGAUUUUUCUAAACAGACCGGCCUGGCAACAGGGAGGAGGGAGGGGAUGACGUCAGGUCAGUAUUUCCCUUACGUCUUGGGCUACAAACACGCCACAAUGGCCGGUACAAAGGGCAGCAAACCCGCGAGGGGGAGCAAAUCUCAUCAAAACCGGUCUCAGUUCGGAUUGCAGGCUGAAACUCGCCUGCAUGAAGCUGGAAUCGCUAGUAACGGUAGGUCAGCACAAUACCGUGGAUACGUUCCCGGGUCUUGUACACACCGCCCGUCAAACCAUGAAAGUGGCCAACACCCAAAGU
rnacentral:rRNA from 1 species